rnacentral:lncRNA from 1 species
UUUAUAUUCAAGGGCGGAAACAGGGAAAAAUAAAAGUGUUGGGAUUGGAGGUUUGACUGUGAACUCUUGGCUUUUGAUAUAUGUAGAUAGAUGCGUAUGGAAUAAACCAACUAGGGUGAAUGUUCCUUAUCUCUGUCCCCUGUGGUCUGGGAGUAGUGACUUCCCCAUGGCCACAAGCAAAACUAUCCAACCUAGACUUUGGUUUCAGAAUACCAUUCUCCACCUUGGAUUCUACUAAGGAGUUCAGAGAGCCAGGACAUCUUGCAAAUCUGACAAUACUCAAUGAAUUUGAAGCAGGUGGCAGAAAGCAAAGGAACAGCAUCAAUAAUGAGACACUCCUACAAAUUGCUCCACAUAAGAAGAUGUAAUGAGAAGGAUCCCACAUCCCUUCUAUGGUGUAUAGAAUUACGAGGAAGCAUUAGUCAAAGCCAAAUUGGGAGGAAUUCUGUAAAUAAAUAUACCUCAAGGACACCACAAGUCACUGAUGCUCCAGUCCCUUAUAAAGACUAGCGCAGUGUUUGCAUAGAACCUGUGCAUAUCUUCCUGCGCAUAGAACUAGCUCCAUAAAGCACCCCUAGAUCCCUCCUAAUGCCUGAUACAGUGUAAGAGCUUUGGAAACAGUUGUUGCACUGAAUUGUUUAGGGAAUAACAAGGAAGAGUAUACAUGUUCAGAACAGACACGAUUCUUUUUUUUUUUCCUAAAUAUUUCAAUCCACAAAUUCAGCAGAACCCACAGAGACAGAGGGCCAACUGUACUUGCACCACAGAAAUUGGCAGAUGUCGGGCUGGGGUUGUGGCUCAGCAGUAGAGCACUCGCCUGGCACGCGUGAGGCACUGGGUUUGAUCCUCAGCACCACAUAAAAAUAAAAUAAAGGUAUAAAGAAGAAACUGACAGAUGUCACAACCCAGAACCCAGCCCUGACUGUUAAAUGUUUACCAGCACAUGGGUCUUUGUAUCAUCUUUCCGACAUUUUUUGUAAAUUUGUGAUUGUUUCAAAAGUUAUUAGAUAAAAAGAUUCUUUUGAGUAGGGCUAGUAA